rnacentral:rRNA from 1 species
AAGCUCGUAGUCGAAUUUGUGUCCCGCGCCGCCGGUUCAUCGCUCGCGGUGUUUAACUGGCGUGUCCGCGGGACGUCCUGCCGGUGGGCUCAGCCUCCUCCUCUCUGGGGUGGGGGCGGCCCAACUUCAAAUCCCACCGCGGUGCUCUUUGCCGAGUGUCGAGGUGGGCCGGCACGUUUACUUUGAACAAAUUAGAGUGCUUAAAGCAGGCUAAAACUUCGCCUGAAUACUGUGUGCAUGGAAUAAUGGAAUAGGACCUCGGUUCUAUUUUGUUGGUUUUCGGAACUCCGAGGUAAUGAUUAAUAGGAACGGAUGGGGGCAUUCGUAUUGCGACGUUAGAGGUGAAAUUCUUGGAUCGUCGCAAGACGGACAGAAGCGAAAGCAUUUGCCAAAAACGCUUUCAUUGAUCAAGAACGAAAGUUAGAGGUUCGAAGGCGAUCAGAUACCGCCCUAGUUCUAACCAUAAACGAUGCCAGCUAGCGAUCCGCCGACGUUCCUCCGAUGACUCGGCGGGCAGCUUCCGGGAAACCAAAGCUUUUGGGUUCCGGGGGAAGUAUGGUUGCAAAGCUGAAACUUAAAGGAAUUGACGGAAGGGCACCACCAGGAGUGGAGCCUGCGGCUUAAUUUGACUCAACACGGGAAACCUCACCAGGCCCGGACACCGGAAGGAUUGACAGAUUGACAGCUCUUUCUUGAUUCGGUGGGUGGUGGUGCAUGGCCGUUCUUAGUUGGUGGAGCGAUUUGUCUG